GAUGAACGCUGGCGGCGUGCCUAAUACAUGCAAGUCGAGCGAACGGACGAGAAGCUUGCUUCUCUGAUGUUAGCGGCGGACGGGUGAGUAACACGUGGAUAACCUACCUAUAAGACUGGGAUAACUUCGGGAAACCGGAGCUAAUACCGGAUAAUAUUUUGAACCGCAUGGUUCAAAAGUGAAAGACGGUCUUGCUGUCACUUAUAGAUGGAUCCGCGCUGCAUUAGCUAGUUGGUAAGGUAACGGCUUACCAAGGCAACGAUGCAUAGCCGACCUGAGAGGGUGAUAGGCCACACUGGAACGGAGACACGGACCAGGCUCCUACGGGAGGCAGCAGUAGGGAAUCUUCCGCAAUGGGCGAGAGCCUGACGGAGCAACGCCGAGUGAGUGAUGAAGGUCUUCCGAUCGUAAAACUCUGUUAUUAGGGAAGAACAUAUGUGUAAGUAACUGUGCACAUCUUGACGGUACCUAAUCAGAAAGCCACGGCUAACUACGUG
rnacentral:rRNA from 1 species